rnacentral:piRNA from 1 species
UACUGUAGACUUACAUAUUUUCCUGUU